rnacentral:tmRNA from 1 species
GGGCUUGUACUGGUUUCGACGGGGGUUUUGAAGUUGAGGAAGCCAUCCGCAGCUCCCGAACUGCGUUAAAACGGGAAAUUCUAAAUAUAAACGCUGACGAUCAGUUAGUAAUGGCAGCCUAAGUGCUGCCCGUCAGACCUGAUGCACUCACACAUCAGGAGCCUGGCGUCGACUAUGUGAGAAACCUUGCCGGUUAAGCUUUGUCCCGGCAGAUGUAUUAUGAAGCUACUGAAGCAGUAAGCCUGUCUGUGGGCGUGCUGUGGAGGGAAUGUUAAAACAUUGACUGUGAUGGGAGAUGCCGCAAGGGAUAGACUUUCGGACGCGGGUUCAAUUCCCGCCAGGUCCA